rnacentral:rRNA from 1 species
GCUACGGACAAAGGGCAGCAAGUUCGCGAGGACAAGCAAAUCCCAUAAACCGUGGCUCAGUUCAGAUCGUAGGCUGCAACUCGCCUACGUGAAGGAGGAAUCGCUAGUAAUCGCAGGUCAGCAUACUGCGGUGAAUACGUUCCCGGGCCUUGUACACACCGCCCGUCACACCAUGGAAGUUGGCCACGCCCGAAGUCGUUACUCCAACCCUCUGGGAGGAGGACGCCGAAGGUGGGGCUGAUGACUGGGGUGAAGUCGUAACAAGGUAGCCGUACCGGAAGGUGCGGCUGGAUCACCUCCUAA